GUAUGGGGCAAGCGUUAUCCGGAUUUACUGGGUGUAAAGGGAGCGCAGGCGGCUUGGCAAGUCUGAUGUGAAAGGCUGGGGCUCAACCCCAGGACUGCAUUGGAAACUGUUAGGCUGGAGUGUCGGAGAGGUAAGCGGAAUUCCUAGUGUAGCGGUGAAAUGCGUAGAUAUUAGGAGGAACACCAGUGGCGAAGGCGGCUUACUGGACGACAACUGACGCUGAGGCUCGAAAGCGUGGGGAGCAAA
rnacentral:rRNA from 1 species